AGAAAUCAGUUCAGCACUAAGUCACUUUGUCUAUAUGGCAAACGUGAGAUGCAGUGUAUGGAGCGUCAAUAUUCUAGUAUGAGAAAUUAACGAUUUAAGUCCUUCUUAAAUGAGGCCAUUUACCCAUAGAGGGUGCCAGGCCCGUAUAACGUUAAUGAUUACUAGAUGAUGUUUCCAAAGAGUCGUGUUGCUUGAUAGUGCAGCACUAAGUGGGUGGUAAACUCCAUCUAAAACUAAAUAUAACCAUGAGACCGAUAGUAAACAAGUACCGUGAGGGAAAGUUGAAAAGAACUCUGAAUAGAGAGUUAAACAGUACGUGAAACUGCUUAGAGGUUAAGCCCGAUGAACCUGAAUAUCCGUUAUGGAAAAUUCAUCAUUAAAGUUGUAAUAUUUUAACAAUAUUAUAAUAAUAGUGUGCAUUUUUUCCAUAUAAGGACAUUGUAAUCUAUUAGCAUAUAACAAAUUUAUCAUAAAAUAUGACUUAUAGUUUAUUCAAAUUAUUAUGCUUGCAUUUUAACAUAGAAUAAAUGUCAUUAAUUUGAUAAAGUGUUGAUAAAUUAAAAUUAAUACAGUGCGUUAAUUUUUCGAAAUUAUAUAAUGGCAUAAUUAUCAUUGAUUUUUGUGUUUAUUAUAUGCAUUUGUAUGAUUAA
rnacentral:rRNA from 2 species